GACGACAAAGAAGACAGCUUUGCAAAGACUGCACCGAAGUCAAAAGCGAUGCAAGCUACCUUGCUGUCCAAGCAAGAUGACGGCUGAGCAGGAAUCUUGCAAACUCGACGGAAAGGUCGUUUGCAUGAAAAAAAAAAAAAACCCUGUCAUGCUUUCCUGUGCGGCUAAUUUUUUGUUUUAUUAUAGACCGUUUCAGGCACUUUCCAUUACUUGGGCUAGAAGCUCUCUCCUUAAUCAGCCUACGAAGACUACCUCCGAUGCUGACCAGUAUUGGAACACCCUCUAUGUCUCAGAAGAACUGGAGGUGACUUGAUGGCCAUGGUUCAAGUGAAUUUUUGGGUUGUAAAGGAACGCCUCCCAAAUCGUCCUAGUUUGCUCGCCUUGGUCCAGGCUUCGGCUGGAAGAUGGGAUAUACAAAUACUUUUCUGUACAGUAUGCUUUAC